GAUGAAGAACGCAGCGAAAUGCGAUAAGUAAUGUGAAUUGCAGAAUUCAGUGAAUCAUCGAAUCUUUGAACGCGCAUUGCGACCGCCAGUAUUCUGGCGGGCAUGCCUGUUCGAGCGUCAUUACAACCCUCAGGCCCCCGGGCCUGGCGUUGGGGAUCGGCGGAGCCCCCCGUGGGCACACGCCGUCCCCCAAAUGCAGUGGCGGUCCCGCCGCAGCUUCCAUCGCGUAGUAGCUAACACCUCGCGACUGGAGAGCGGCGCGGCCACGCCGUAAAACACCCAACUCUUCUGAAGUUGACCUCGAAUCAGGUAGGAAUACCCGCUGAACUUAAGCAUAUCAAUAAGCGGAGGA
rnacentral:misc_RNA from 1 species